GACCGGAGCAUCUGGAGGUCUUCCAACAAAUGAGACAACUUUUGCAAAAAUACUGAAAGAGAAAGGCUAUGCCACUGGACUCAUUGGUUGUUUUCUGCAAAGUAGAUACUCAAGAAAUACCAGCUCAGGCAAGGUGGCUCAUGCCUAUAAUCCCAGUACUUUGAGAGGCCGAGGCGGAAGGAUUGCUUGAGCCCAGAAGUUUGAAACCCGCCUGGGCAACAUAGCAAGACCCCACGUCUACAAAAAAA
rnacentral:lncRNA from 10 species